AAAGGUAAAUACCUAGUAUAGUGUACGAAAAAACAGCCUGUAUCACAUUAAAAGCAAUCAAGAGAAAUUAAAAUCAGAGUUAGGAUUAAUGAGUAACAUUUAUCCCAGCACCUUUCAAGAUUAUACACAGCUCCGUACUCAGUUUGUGGACAGCCUGAGCUCAUUUGGCCUUGUGUCAAAAGAAAGUGUGAAAACAGAAAAACUGAACACAUCCCUUCAACACAAAAGGAAUUGUAAGAAUAUGUAUUAUUUGUUGCAAUUUUAGAGUUAUCUCCUAAUAUUUCAUCAUUUGUGAUUCUCAAAUGUAAUUUGAUUUUUUUUGUUGGACAGUAAGAUAGCCAAAUACCAGAUCUACGAAAAGAACAUAAGGAUUGCAGCUUAAGUAAUAAUUGAAGAUUUGUGCAAGUCAAUUAAACUAUACAUGCUUGGAAAUUGCCACAUGGGACCAUCUUGAAUGAACAGUUUAUGCAAACAGAAAACAUGUUCAGGAAGAAUGUUAAAAUUUUAACACUUGUAAAUAGAAAGAAGAUGACAUUUGCCUGUCUUUGUAAUUUAUGAGGGUAUUUGCAAAUAAGCAUCAAAACAAGAAGAAAAUAUUAAAAAGACAUUUUGUGCCAGGACAUCAUGGUAGUGCUGGAUUGCCUAUCCAACUCUGUAUAAAGGUUUUUCAAACAAUUUGUGAAGAAUGUUAGUAUCUUCAGAGUCUUCUGCAUCAGCAAAGAGUAGUGCAUUAACUAAUGGAAAAGAGAAGAUAAAAUUUCUGGUAAGUAUUAGUGACACAUAUGAGUGAAAUAUAAUGUUUUAGCUAGGAUUUAAUGCUGUGAAGAGACACCAUGAAUGUGAGUAUCCUUAUAAAGGGGAAUAAUUGGUGCUGUCUUACAGUUUUAGAAAAUUAGUUCAUUUUUUGUCAUAAUGGGGAACAUGGCAUUGUACUGGCAGAUAUGGUGUUGGAGGAGCUGAGAAUUCUGCAUCUUGAUCAGUAGGCAGCAAGGAGUGACCAUGUGCCCUGCUGGGCAUUGCUUUAGUAUAGGAUACCUGAAAACCUGCCCCUGCAAACAGGCCACAUGUCCUAAUAAUGUCAUUUCCUAUGAACUGAACAUACAACACAUGAAUCUAUGUGACAAGUCCUGUUAAAUGUAUCACACGUAGAAACUAAAAAGUAUUCAGCAAUAAAUAUUGGUAAUGUCAGUCAUGCUUAUGAAUAUAGCAUGCUGUAUCUUAUGUUUUUGUUAUGUCUCAUUUAGGAUGAGUUGCAAGUUGUCUACUACAUUUUUCUUAGAAUAUAACUCAGGAUCAGAAACAGGCCGAAACACUUUUCCAAUCAUCCAAAUUACUUUUUUUAUUAAUGAGACAUGGCUGUUCUAGAACUCACUCUAGACCAGGUUGGCCUCAACCCCG
rnacentral:lncRNA from 1 species